AGUGAACGCUGGCGGUAGGCCUAACACAUGCAAGUCGAACGGCAGCACAGUAAGAGCUUGCUCUUACGGGUGGCGAGUGGCGGACGGGUGAGGAAUACAUCGGAAUCUACUUUUUCGUGGGGGAUAACGUAGGGAAACUUACGCUAAUACCGCAUACGACCUACGGGUAAAAGCAGGGGAUCUUCGGACCUUGCCCGAUUGAUUGAGCCGAUGUCGGAUUAGCUAGUUGGCGGGGUAAAGGCCCACCAAGGCGACGAUCCGUAGCUGGUCUGAGAGGAUGAUCAGCCACACUGGAACUGAGACACGGUCCAGACUCCUACGGGAGGCAGCAGUGGGGAAUAUUGGACAAUGGGCGCAAGCCUGAUCCAGCCAUACCGCGUGGGUGAAGAAGGCCUUCGGGUUGUAAAGCCCUUUUGUUGGGAAAGAAAAGCAGCAGGUUAAUACCCCGCUGUUCUGACGGUACCCAAAGAAUAAGCACCGGCUAACUUCGUG
rnacentral:rRNA from 1 species